CACAAUGUGAUGAUUAGAAAUAGUAGAAGUGUAAUGACCUUUCAGAGAGCCGCUGGGUGGUGUGAAGCGGCAGUGUGAUUCCCUUCGAACUCGUCUAUGAACAGCUGCCCGAUCAUGUAGGGUUAGACGGAAUUCCACCGUUACAGGGAUAGAUGGUGAUAGCCAUCGAAUGAGAUCAUUUCUGUUUACUUCGAAAUGAAUUAGAGUGGUACCGCGAGUUCAACCUCGUCUCUAUA
rnacentral:ncRNA from 1 species